rnacentral:rRNA from 1 species
GACGAACGCUGGCGGCGUGCUUAACACAUGCAAGUCGAACGGAAAGGCCUCAGCUUGCUGGGGUACUCGAGUGGCGAACGGGUGAGUAACACGUGGGUGAUCUGCCUUGCACUCUGGGAUAAGCUUGGGAAACUGGGUCUAAUACCGGAUAUGAACUGCCUUUAGUGUGGUGGUUGGAAAGUUUUUUCGGUGCAAGAUGAGCUCGCGGCCUAUCAGCUUGUUGGUGGGGUAAUGGCCUACCAAGGCGUCGACGGGUAGCCGGCCUGAGAGGGUGUACGGCCACAUUGGGACUGAGGUACGGCCCAGACUCCUACGGGAGGCAGCAGUGGGGAAUAUUGCACAAUGGGCGGAAGCCUGAUGCAGCGACGCCGCGUGGGGGAUGACGGCCUUCGGGUUGUAAACUCCUUUCGACAGGGACGAAGCUUUUUGUGACGGUACCUGUAUAAGAAGCACCGGCUAACUACGUG